rnacentral:rRNA from 1 species
AGUGAACGCUGGCGGCAGGCCUAAUACAUGCAAGUCGAACGGGAGCACAGUAAGCGUUUGCUCUUACGGGUGGUGAGUGGCGGACGGGUGAGGCGUACAUCGCAAUCUACUCUUUCGUGGGGGACAACGUGGGGCAACUUAUGCUAACACCGCAUACUUCGUACGGGUGGAAUCAGGGGAUCUUCGGACCUCGCGCGUCUGCAUGUGCCGAGGCCGGUGUCGCAUUAGCUAGUUGGCGGGGUAAAGGCCCACCAAGGCCGCGAUCCGUAGCUGGUCUGAGAGGAUGAUCGGCCACACUGGAACUGAGACACGGUCCAGACUCCUACGGGAGGCAGCAGUGGGGAAUAUUGGACAAUGGGCGCAAGCCUGAUCCAGCCAUGCCGCGUGAGUGAAGAAGGCCUUCGGGUUGUAAAGCCCUUUUGUUGGGGAAGAAAAGCAGCAGGUUAAUACCCCGCUGUUCUGACGGUACCCAAAGAGUAAGCACCGGCUAACUUCGUG